CUGAAGCCGGACGGAGCCGGGGUUGCGCAACGCCGUGAACGGGCCAAGUGCCCCUGAACUACACACCUCAAAUGCUUUGUUUCAUUUUAUUUGAAUUUCGGCUCAAAAAAAUGAGAGUGAGACAGGGCACCUGGCCGGCUCGGUCCAGAGAGCAGCCGGCUCUCGGGGUCACCAGUUCAAGCCCCACGCUGGGCGUGUAGCCUAUUAACAAAUAGAGAGAGCGAGACCGAACGCCCGAGUCCGUCGGGAAGCCCCCCCGCUGCGAUCGAAAUGCUUCAGGCCGUACAGCAUGGGCACUGACCCCUCGGACCAACAGCCUCGGGGACAAGCUGCCCGAAAAUCAACCAGCUCUGCAAGAUGCUCUCCAGAACAGUAAGGGAGAAAGCAGAACCGUGUGUGGUGCAGACUAUUAAUUCAGGGGUCCUGGAAAAGAACACUUCUGUACAGGAGGAAGGACAACACAGGAGCACAGAGAGGGAGCUGGGGGUUGUGCCUGACAAGGAGCUCACCUAUGGUGUGCAGUGGUGGAGACAUUACAAACAGAAUAGGGACGUAUCACAAGAGGUCUUAAGUGAUAGGCAAAGGAGUGUACACAGUGAGAGUAUGUGGACAAGAGACUGAAGGAGGCUCUGUAGGAGAAACGGCUGGAGGCAGACACACUCCGGGCUCCAGCUGUUGAGCUCCUGCCUCCCCCAGAUGCAAGAGGAAAGCCAACCGAGCAGAGCGUAACCCACUGCUUCACCCCUGUCCUGGCCUUGAUGAGACGCGGCUUCUGGAGUUUUCUGCAAGCCUGCACACUUCUCCUGGCUGUGGCUGCGGCAUCUCCGGGGCCUAGCCAAGAGUGCGCGCUGACGUCUCAGCACAGAAACAGUGACGUCUCUUACAGUCAGAGGACAUUUCCCGGACCCAUAGCACAGGAAAUAACCAAGAGGACUAAGCAGAGUGUCUCCUGAUGGAGAAUGGAAGGCGCAAGAGGUCUGCGCUCCUGGUGAAUCUCCUGAUGUGGACGAACACUCCUCCUAUAUCCUUUUCCUUUUGCACUCAGCAGGCCUUUGGGUCACUCACCUGUGGAUCUGCCCGUCCAUCCAUCCAACCACCAUCCAUCCACCAUCCACCAUCCACCAUCCAACCACCAUCCAUCCACCAUCCAC